CCUGGGAAGCCUGGCCAGAUGCUGGCUAGUGUGCACCUGCACACCUCAUUUUGUCUUACUUGCUCUGGUGGGAAACAAAAGAGCAGCAAUAUGGCUGUUGCCCAGAUGAGGAACUCAGAAGAGGAACUACUAUGUGAACCGAGCCAUUGCCAUAUGGCCGAGCUUUUUCCCCUGCUGGCUGAUAUCAUACAGCCCUCAGAGAAGUUGGCUCCAUGAUCUAUC
rnacentral:lncRNA from 1 species